rnacentral:rRNA from 1 species
GGAACUAGCGGCGGACGGGUGAGUAAUGCUUAGGAAUCUGCCUAUUAGUGGGGGACAACAUCUCGAAAGGGAUGCUAAUACCGCAUACGUCCUACGGGAGAAAGCAGGGGAUCUUCGGACCUUGCGCUAAUAGAUGAGCCUAAGUCGGAUUAGCUAGUUGGUGGGGUAAAGGCCUACCAAGGCGACGAUCUGUAGCGGGUCUGAGAGGAUGAUCCGCCACACUGGGACUGAGACACGGCCCAGACUCCUACGGGAGGCAGCAGUGGGGAAUAUUGGACAAUGGGGGGAACCCUGAUCCAGCCAUGCCGCGUGUGUGAAGAAGGCCUUUGGUUGUAAUGCACUUUAGGGGAGGGGGAG